rnacentral:rRNA from 1 species
UUUCCGGUUGAUCCUGCCGCCGGCCACCGCUAUCAAGUUCCGACUAAGCCACGCGAGUCAAGGUAUCGUAAGAUGCCGGCAAACUGCUCGGUAACACGUGGAUAAUCUAACCUUGAGUAAGGGAUAACCUCGGGAAACUGAGGAUAAUACCUUAUAAUUGCUUAAAACUGGAAUGUUUAAGCAAUAAAAGUUCCGACGCUCAAGGAUGAGUCUGCGACCUAUCAGGUAGUAGGUGGUGUAAUGGACCACCUAGCCUCAGACGGGUACGGGCCCUGGGAGGGGUAGCCCGGAGAUGGACUCUGAGACAUCAGUCCAGGCCCUACGGGGCGCAGCAGGCGCGAACACUGUGCAAUGCGCGAAAGCGCGACACGGGGAGCUUGAGUGUCUUGGCAUAGCCAAGACUUUUCUCAUUCCUAAAAAGCAUGAGGAAUAAGUGCUGGGUAAGACGGGUGCCAGCCGCCGCGGUAACACCCGCAGCACAAGUGGUGGUCACUUUUAUUGAGCCUAAAGCGUUUGUAGCCGGUUUUGUAAAUCUUUAGAUAAAGCCUGAAGCUUAACUCCAGAAAGUCUGAAGAGACUGCAAGACUUGAGAUCGGGUGAGGUUAAACGUACUUUCAGGGUAGGGGUAAAAUCCUGUAAUCCUGGAAGGACGACCGGUGGCGAAGGCGUUCAACUAGAACGGAUCCGACGGUGAGGAACGAGGGCUAGGGUAGCAAACCGGAUUAGAUACCCGGGUAGUCCUAGCUGUAAACACUGCCCACUUGGUGUUGCCCCUCCGAUGAGGGGAGGCAGUGCCGGAGCGAAGGUGUUAAGUGGGCCGCUUGGGGAGUAUGGUCGCAAGGCUGAAACUUAAAGGAAUUGGCGGGGGAGCACCGCAACGGGAGGAGCGUGCGGUUUAAUUGGAUUCACCGCCGGG